rnacentral:rRNA from 1 species
UACGUAGGGUGCGAGCGUUAAUCGGAAUUACUGGGCGUAAAGCGUGCGCAGGCGGUUCGCCAAGUCAGGUGUGAAAUCCCCGGGCUUAACCUGGGAACUGCAUUGGUGACUGGCGGGCUAGAGUAUGGCAGAGGGGGGUAGAAUUCCACGUGUAGCAGUGAAAUGCGUAGAGAUGUGGAGGAAUACCGAUGGCGAAGGCAGCCCCCUGGGCCAAUACUGACGCUCAUGCACGAAAGCGUGGGGAGCAAACAGG